rnacentral:rRNA from 1 species
AUGGCUGCCGCGGCGGCUUCAGGGGACUCCGGCGAGCAGCUGCUGCUCCACCUCAAGCUCGCCUUCCUCGCCCUGGAGCCCCCCGCCUGCGUCCUCACCCUCGCCAGAAAGGCUGGUGGAGGUUCUGUCACGCCACAUGUUCAAAAUUUUAUUUUGGAGAAUUGUGUUGGCACUAAUGUAGGGGGCCCAGAUUGUACAUAUGUGAAAACUAUUCUUAAAAAGGUUAUAGCAGAGGCGGAAUUAUCAUCAGAUAUUGUGAUUGAUGAACUCUAUGAGGAAUUUGGCCGUUGUAUGUCGUCAAGGGAAAAUAACUCAGAGCUUAGCCUGGCCAAGAUCUACAAGGAGAUAUCUUUUCUUUCUCCUGCAUAUGACAAUGUAUCCUCGAAUCCAGUAAGUUUGGUUGCUCGAUUAUUAUGUUCUACUAACAUGCUCGAAGGGGAUACAGGGUGCUGUCUUUGGCCAUCAAGUUUAUUCUUAUCUGAGUUUAUUCUUUCAUUCCCAGAACUUUUCGCCAAAAAAUGCUGCUUUGAGCUAGGUUCUGGUGUUGGUUUGGUUGGUGUAUGUCUAAACCAUGUUGGUGCUUCCAAGGUUAUUCUUACUGAUGGUGAUGCAUCUACACUAACAAACAUGAAGGCAAACAUGGAAAUGAAUAACUUAUACAUUGAGGAUUCUCAACUAGUAAAAGAAAGCAAGAAUAAGGUAGAGUGCAAAUAUCUUUCCUGGGAAGAAGCGUGUGAAAGCGAUUUAAGAGACUACCAGAGAGACAUACUUCUUGGUGCAGACAUUAUAUACAACCCGUCCUGCGUGCCCCACCUGGUACGAGUGCUUUGUAUGCUACUUAGAGGUGAUGAUGGACGGCGUGAAAGUGUCAAUGCGGCAACCAACGGAGAAAUUGGUGACGAAGUAUCUGGGACCACCACAACCGGAGGUCCUGUGGCCUAUAUCGCCACGGUUAUUCGGAAUGCAGACACUUUUAAUUGCUUUGCCAAGGCGGCUGCUGAUGCCAAGUUGUCUGUUGUCAACAUUACCAGCAGUGCGGCUACGUCCAGUUUUCUUCCUUACAUGAUCUCAUAUGAUAGAUCUAGCGUGCAACUUCUUAAGAUUACACUGCUAUCUUAA